rnacentral:tRNA from 1 species
GAAUUAAUUUAUUUAAGCUUCUAACUUAAUUUUUUAGCAAUAAUUUGUUAUUAAUUCU